UUCACUAGAAAAGUUUUGUGGUAGAGAAACCUCGUGAGACAAUCUACGAUAUAUUUAUAGAGAAUACAACGAAAUACGUAUAUUCAUAAAUAAUAUAGGAAAAAACGAAACUGAGAAACUCUAUCUGUUUUUGCGUCAGACAAUAAGAUAAGAAUCUUUCGGAAUGAUUUUCGGGACAGAAACGAAACAAACCGUAACGUUCGGUGUGAGAAAGAUCCGAAAUAAAACAUCUCACGAUUCUAGGCAGACGAAUCGCUGUCCGCCGAAAAACGAAAGCUCGGAAAUCCCACGGUGUGUUUUAGACCAGAAAAUCCAAGAUCCACCUAUCCCUCGGUACUUGAAAUCGCAGCGGCACAAUUUUUGUUACAUGUCCAGCGAUGUUCCGCGCAUAGAAUAUACACUUAAAAGCUUCACCAGCAACACUUGCACGAUCACUGAGUUCACUUCAGACCACUCGAAACGGAGACGAAAGUCGGUAUAUACACGAGCAAAAGUUGUAGCAGCUUAGCGCGGCUGUACGCAUAUCGGGAAGUCGAGAAAUUCUUGGGCCGAAGAUCGGCUCGUAUAGUUUGGAGCGUGGCUUGGCUAAAGCAGGCGGCAGGUCGACGCAAAUCGGAUGAGAAACGGGCUUGGCGGCCUGCGGGGAAGAGUAUACGAAGCCUGCUUGAGUGAACGUGUCGCGGACAGUGGGAAAUGGUAGGGGCACCACGGACCUACGCUAGAGGACCCGGAGAAUAGUAGGGAGCGCGCAGCAUGCGCGUGCCUGCGCACCGGUUUUCGGCUUCGCUAGUGAUGGGCCCGAUCUCGAGCCAUCAACAUGUAUCCAGUAUUUGCAUUUAUCGUUUUAAUAGUAAACACGGAUCAUGGAUUUCUACGUAAAUUCAUAUUCUUUUAGCAUAUAAUUUAAAAUGUAGGACCUCGGUAGAAAAUUGUUUCACCUACCAACUAUUAUAGAAAGCAUUGUACCUUGAAUAUUCUAUGUGCUCUUUCAUUUUAGUGUAUUUCUAAGAAAAACAGGUGUAUCUGUAAAAAAAAAAAAAAGAAAAAAAGAGAAAAAGAACGUCAAGUUUCGUUUCCACCCUAACCUUAAUUCAAAUUCUUCGGACUAAAGGUCUUCAAGUACAAACGGUACAUAACAUCUUAAUAUUUUGUAUAUUAUACAUGAUCUUUUAGUAGCGAACUGUUAACAAACACCUAAGUUGCUAGAAACACCGUAAAGUAAGCGUUCAUAUAUGUAUAUUGAUUAUUGAUUAUUUCACCAUACGUUCGAAUGGUAUCGUUAUGUUUGUAUAUGUAGAAAGUUGUAACGAAAGAGACAUCAACAUAGUAUGAUAUUUACCUCUUAAGCGGUAGCGAAUGUACGUACAUAAUACUCAUACGUGCACAUAAUAUAUAUACACUGCAGAGCCAAAAUACGUGUAUCAAGUUUAAGGAUUCAAUUUAAACAUUUACGUCCACAUUCUACAUCUCCGCAUAUCAUAUGUUAUUGCGUUACGCGCAAUUACUUACGAACAAUUCUAACCUAAAGUAUUAAUGUUUACGCUAGUUCAAUGGAUUAGAAGAAAGGUGAUCUCAGUUAUUUGUAGAUUUUAAGAUAUCAAGGGCUGAGAGAUUUCGCAUAACAAGGAAAGAUUUGAAAUUGAUCAAUUGAAUUAAAAUAUGAAAUACUGUCACAUUCUAGCUGUUUUUAACGAUAGUUUAGUUUCCAUCGAUGCGAUAUAACGUAACGAAUUAGCUCGUAACGUCUUAACUUAUUUUCACAGAGUCCUCGAUUAUUUCGAAAUUAUUCACUUUGUUCGUUAUGAAUAAAUAUAAUAACAAUUACAAACCUUAACAAAUACGGUAGCGAUACAACUGAUUUUUACUUGGUUUGAGACACCCGUUAUGUGAAAGUCACAUCUGGACUUGAAGCACGUGCGCGUAUACGACGAUGAAGGCACGUAUUAUAAGCAGAUCAGUACGAGAUGCUGAAAGUAGCCAAAUUGGCGUAUCAACAAAACAAGCACGUCAAGUCCCAUUCUACUACCUGCGAAUCCAGAAGAAAGCUAGACCGGGGGGACACAAAAGAGCGAUACCUGAGCCAGAAAGACACAUUCCAGCUGCUUGUGAGGUGUGUCAUAUUCCAGCUAAACUGGCGCUUUUCCUUGCGUAUGUCCUUAGCGAUGGCUUUAAGCCUCUAGUCAAUUGGGAUAAUAUUUUUCUAAUGAGAAUCUCGCUUUUAAUUGCCAUUCAUAUUAUUAAUAUUUAUAAAUAUUAUUUUCCUUAAAUUAAUGAUAAUAUUACGUUAUAAAUAUAUAUUGUAAUAUUAAUAUUAUCGAUAUUAUACGAUAUACGUUUAAUACUGAAAUAUUUGUUACAUUUUUAACA